GGUUUGAUUAUGAUUCGAUUGAACGCUGGCGGGAUGUUUUACACAUGCAAGUCGAACGGCAGCACGGAAUUCUGGUCUGGUGGCGAGUGGCGAACGGGUGAGUAAUGUAUCGGAACGUGCCUAGUAGCGGGGAUAACUACCGCGAAAGCGUAGCUAAUACCGUAUACACCCUUCGGGGAAAGCGGGUCUUCGGGCCUCACUGAGUUAGGAAGCGGCCGAUAUCGGAUUAGCUUACAGUUGGCGGGGUAACGGCUCACCAAGGCGACGAUCCAGUAGUUGGUUUGGAGAGGACGACCAGCCACACUGGGACUGAGACACGGCCCAGACUCCUACGGGAGGCAGCAGUGGGGAAUUUGGACAAUGGGAAACCGAUCCAGCCAUCCACGGCGUGUGGCGAUGAAGGCUUUGGUUGUAAAGCACUUUGGUGCAGGAAAGAAACGGCAGUACGGAUAAUACCCCGUGCAACUGACGGUACCUGCAGAAUAAGCACCGGCUAACUACGCCAGCAGCCGCGGUAAUACGUAGGUGCAAGCGUUAAUCGGAAUUACUGGGCGUAAAAGGUGCGCAGGCGGUUCGGAAAGAAAGAUGUGAAAUCCCAGAGCUUAACUUUGGAACCGCAUUUUUAACUACCGAGCUAGAGGUGUCAGAGGGGAGGUGGAAUUGCGUGUAGCAGUGAAAUGUGCGUAUGAUAUGGAGCGUGCACCUGAUGGCGAAGGCAGCCUCCUGGGAUAACGACGCUCAUGCACGAAAGUGGGGAGCAAACAGGAUUAGAUACCCUGGUAGUCCACGCCCCAAACGAUGUCAACUAGCUGUUGGGGCCUUUCGGCCUUGCAGCGCAGCUAACGCGUGAAGUUGACCGCCUGGGGGUACGGUCGCAAGAUUAAAAACUCAAAGGGAAUGAUUUGGGACCUGCACAAGCGGUGGAUGAUGUGGAUUAAUUCGAUGCAACGCGAAAAACCCACUACCCUGACAUGUCUGGAAUCCCGAAGAGAUUUGGGAGUGCUCGCAAGAGAACCGGAACAGGAAGGCAUGGCUGUCGUCAACUCGUGUCGUGAGAUGCCAGUUAAGUCCCGCAACGAACGCAACCCUUGUCAUUAGUUGCUACGAAAGGGCACUCUAAUGAGACUGCCGUGACAAACUGGAGGAAGGUGGAUGACGUCAAGUCCUCGCGGCUCUGCGGGGUAGGGCUUCACACGUCAUACAAUGGUCGGGACAGAGGUCGCCAACCCGCGAGGGGAGCCAAUCCCAGAAACCCGAUCGUAGUCCGGAUCGCAGUCUGCAACCUCGAGAAUUGCGCAGUCGGAAUCGCUAGUAAUCGCGGAUCAGCAUGUCAGGUGGUGAAUACGUUCCCGGGUCUUGUACACACCGCCCGUCACACCAUGGGAGUGGGUUUACCAUAGUUAGCCUAACCGUGUAAGGAGGGCGAUUACCACGGCAGGAUCCAUGAUCAGCGGAAGCUCGUACUGGACAGCAA
rnacentral:rRNA from 1 species